GACGAACGCUGGCGGCGUGCUUAACACAUGCAAGUCGAACGGAAAGGCCCGGCUUUUGUGGGGUUCUCGAGUGCCGAACGGGUGAGUAACACGUGUGUAACCUGCCCCUGACUGUGUGAUAACUUCAGGAAACUGGGGCGAAUACCGGGUAGGAUCUCCUGCUGCAUGGGGUGGGAUGGAAAGAUUCGGCGGUUGGGGCUGGACUCGCGGCUUAUCAGCUGGUUGGUGGAGUAGUUGCUUACCAAGGGUUUGACGGAUAGCCGGCCUGAGAGGUUGAACGGCCACCUUGCGACUGCGAUACGCACCAGAAUGCUACGGGCGGCAGCAGUGGGAAACUUUGCACAAUGGGCGGACGCCUGAUGCAAAGACGCCGCGUGCGGGAUGACGGGUUUCGGGUUGUAAACCGCUUUCGCCUGUGACGAAGCGUGAGUGACGGUAAUGGGUAAAGAAGCACCGGCUAACUACGUG
rnacentral:rRNA from 1 species